AAGUCACGUAUGCUGAGGUGAAUGUGAGAUGGAGAUCUGACGGACCUGACAGCACACCUGGAAUUCCACAUUCAGUGACCUGCUUGGAGAACAAUCCCUGGUGUUACGUUGUCUUUGCCCUGAUCUUCUGUGCUGUGGUUCUGCUUCUCACAGUCAUCCUGCUGGCAGUGAAAUGUUACAGCCGCUGAGCCUGCUGCCACACAGGAUAAGUCAGCACAGGAAGGUUUUGCUUCUUCAACGAUAUGGGACGUAGUGCUUGUUUUAUUUGACAUCAUUUUGGCUGAAGAGACAAAAUGAAGACAUGCCAUCAGUCUGAUCACUCCAGCAAUGUCAUCCCAGAUCUCUGUUAAACCUCUAACCUCUCCAUAGGUGGACAAAACAGAUAUUAAUUUUAUUUGGAAUUUCCUUAAUUCUGUAAUACCAGCAACCAUCCA